rnacentral:lncRNA from 1 species
GGAAGAGAUUUGGAGAAAGGUGUCUGAGAGCUGUGUUGCCCCUCUCCAGGCCACCCUCCUCACAAUGGGGGCUGCUGGUACUUCAUUCAUCUUCCUGGGAGGUUAGAUGUCCCUAUGGAACAUGUCCAUGGAAUUUUGGGUGACUGGCUGAACAAUCAACUCCAUCUGUUCUGUAUGUUUCUUCUGGCAGUGAGACAUCAACUUCCAAUCCUUCGCUGUCAGGACCUAGGGCAUGGAGAACCCCAAGACUCUCCCACUUUGUGGUUUAUGGACUUAACGAUCUGACAAAGCGUUGCAAUGGAGCAGAUAAAACAAUGUCAGGUUUUUCUGCAACUUUAUGCCAAUAGUGCACCUCCUGGUGGCAGCGGUAACAAGAGGUAUGAUGGUUAGAUCAG